rnacentral:tRNA from 1 species
AUUACUUUGGCAGAAAUAAGUGUAUUAAAUUUAGAAUUUAAAAUUAUAUAUUAUGAUAGGAUAUAUAAGUAAUA